rnacentral:rRNA from 1 species
GAUGAACGCUGGCGGCGUGCCUAUUACAUGCAAGUCGAGCGAACAGACGAGGAGCUUGCUCCUCUGACGUUAGCGGCGGACGGGUGAGUAACACGUGGAUAACCUACCUAUAAGACUGGGAUAACUUCGGGAAACCGGAGCUAAUACCGGAUAAUAUAUUGAACCGCAUGGUUCAAUAGUGAAAGACGGUUUUGCUGUCACUUAUAGAUGGAUCCGCGCCGCAUUAGCUAGUUGGUAAGGUAACGGCUUACCAAGGCGACGAUGCGUAGCCGACCUGAGAGGGUGAUCGGCCACACUGGAACUGAGACACGGUCCAGACUCCUACGGGAGGCAGCAGUAGGGAAUCUUCCGCAAUGGGCGAAAGCUUGACGGAGCAACGCCGCGUGAGUGAUGAAGGUCUUCGGAUCGUAAAACUCUGUUAUUAGGGAAGAACAAAUGUGUAAGUAACUAUGCACGUCUUGACGGUACCUAAUCAGAAAGCCACGGCUAACUACGUG